rnacentral:tRNA from 1 species
GGCAGAGUGGCUGAGUGGUCUAAGGCGCUAGUUUUAGGCACUAGUAUAUUCGGAUGCGUGGAUUCGAAUCCUACCUCUGUCA